AACGAACGCUGGCGGCAGGCUUAACACAUGCAAGUCGAACGCCCCGCAAGGGGAGUGGCCGACGGGUGAGUAACGCGUGGGAAUCUACCCAUCCCUACGGAAUAACGCAUGGAAACGUGUGCUAAUACCGUAUACGCCCUACGGGGGAAAGAUUUAUCGGGGAUGGAUGAGCCCGCGUUGGAUUAGCUAGUUGGUGGGGUAAAGGCCUACCAAGGCGACGAUCCAUAGCUGGUCUGAGAGGAUGAUCAGCCACAUUGGGACUGAGACACGGCCCAAACUCCUACGGGAGGCAGCAGUGGGGAAUAUUGGACAAUGGGCGCAAGCCUGAGCCAGCCAUGCCGCGUGAGUGAUGAAGGCCUUAGGGUUGUAAAGCUCUUUCACCGGAGAAGAUAAUGACGGUAUCCGGAGAAGAAGCCCCGGCUAACUUCGUG
rnacentral:rRNA from 1 species